rnacentral:rRNA from 1 species
ACAUGCCUACAACUUAGUGUUAAUGCACCAGAUCCCAUUAGAACUCUGUAGUUAAGCGUGCUCAGGCUAGAGUAGUACUGAGAUGGGUGAUUGUCCAAGAAGUCCUAGUAUUUUACAUGCC